AGGAUAAUAGUUAAAUUAACAUUUAAUUUGCAUUUAAAAAAUACUGAGGUUCAGUUUAUCUU
rnacentral:tRNA from 1 species